GAGUAGUAAAAGAUAAGAUCUUCAAACUCAAUAAAUUUGGCGGUAUUUUAUCUAUACAGAGGAACCUGUCUAUUAAUUGAUACUCCACAAUUACUUUACUUUUAUUAAUUUAUUUGUAUACCGCUGUCAUGAGUAUAUUAUUAAAUAAUUUUCAUAAGAUUUAUGUUAGGUCAAGGUGCAGUUUUUAAAGUUUUAGAUGGGUUACAUUAGUUGAAUGAAAGGAAAUAGGAUUUGUUAGUAAACAAAGAAUUUAUGAAAAAAGAUUCUAGAAUAUG
rnacentral:rRNA from 1 species